rnacentral:rRNA from 1 species
CCUACGGGAGGCAGCAGUGAGGAAUAUUGGUCAAUGGACGAGCGUCUGAACCAGCCAAGUAGCGUGAAGGAUGACUGCCCUAUGGGUUGUAAACUUCUUUUAUAUGGGAAUAAAACAGGGUAUGCAUACCCUCUUGUAUGUACCAUCUGAAUAAGGAUCGGCUAACUCCGUGCCAGCAGCCGCGGUAAUACGGAGGAUCCGAGCGUUAUCCGGAUUUAUUGGGGUUAAAGGGAGCGUAGGUGGAUUGUUAAGUCAGUUGUGAAAGUUUGCGGCUCAACCGUAAAAUUGCAGUUGAAACUGGCAGUCGUGAGUACAGUAGAGGUGUGCGGAAUUCGUGGUGUAGCGGUGAAAUGCUUAGAUAUCACGAAGAACUCCGAUUGCGAAGGCAGCUCACUGGACUGCAACUGACACUGAUGCUCGAAAGUGUGGGUAUCAAACAGGAUUAGAUACCCUUGUAGUC